AGUGAACGCUGGCGGUAGGCCUAACACAUGCAAGUCGAACGGCAGCACAGUAAGAGCUUGCUCUUACGGGUGGCGAGUGGCGGACGGGUGAGGAAUACAUCGGAAUCUUCUUUUUCGUGGGGGAUAACGUAGGGAAACUUACGCUAAUACCGCAUACGACCUACGGGUGAAAGCAGGGGAUCUUCGGACCUUGCGCGAUUGAAUGAGCCGAUGUCGGAUUAGCUAGUUGGCGGGGUAAAGGCCCACCAAGGCGACGAUCCGUAGCUGGUCUGAGAGGAUGAUCAGCCACACUGGAACUGAGACACGGCCCAGACUCCUACGGGAGGCAGCAGUGGGGAAUAUUGGACAAUGGGCGCAAGCCUGAUCCAGCCAUACCGCGUGGGUGAAGAAGGCCUUCGGGUUGUAAAGCCCUUUUGUUGGGAAAGAAAAGCAGCAGGUUAAUACCCCGCUGUUCUGACGGUACCCAAAGAAUAAGCACCGGCUAACUUCGUG
rnacentral:rRNA from 1 species